CCUACGGGUGGCAGCAGUGAGGAAUAUUGGUCAAUGGACGAGAGUCUGAACCAGCCAAGUAGCGUGAAGGAUGACUGCCCUAUGGGUUGUAAACUUCUUUUAUAUGGGAAUAAAAUGUUCCACGUGUGGGAUUUUGUAUGUACCAUAUGAAUAAGGAUCGGCUAACUCCGUGCCAGCAGCCGCGGUAAUACGGAGGAUCCGAGCGUUAUCCGGAUUUAUUGGGUUUAAAGGGAGCGUAGGUGGAUUGUUAAGUCAGUUGUGAAAGUUUGCGGCUCAACCGUAAAAUUGCAGUUGAAACUGGCAGUCUUGAGUACAGUAGAGGUGGGCGGAAUUAGUGGUGUAGCGGUGAAAUGCUUAGAUAUCACGAAGAACUCCGAUUGCGAAGGCAGUUCACUGGACUGCAACUGACACUGAGGCUCGAAAGUGUGGGUAUCAAACAGGAUUAGAUACCCUAGUAGUC
rnacentral:rRNA from 1 species